GGGCUGGAGAGUCACACACUGCAGAGGAAGAUAACUGUGACCCUCCACCCACCACACAGGGAACUGAGUCAUUCUUGAGGAACUUCCAGGAAGCACAGAUGGAGCCCUGACCUCAGCUGACCUGGGCAGGGCUCACCACAGAAUGGGAGUAUGAGGUCUGGCCUGCCAACUGUUCACCCAGAAAGCCGGGCUCUCUGCUCUAGAAGUGCCAACGUACAGGCCCACUCUGCCGCUCCUUAGAAUGGGCCUGGCCAGUGGAAGCCACUUAGGGUCCCUGGGGCCAUCUGACUUCAGGGAAGGCAGCACUCAGGGUCCAUAUGGUGUCUCUGAAGAUGACGGGCUAGAGUCAGUAAGGGAAUCACACGCCCUAAGCCCUCCCUUUCUAGCUACUCAGUGGGCUCAGCAGCAGGCAUUUUUGUGGCUGGUGGCUACAGGCACGUGCCCAGCUGGGAGACAAAUGUGACUGCGGCAUCUGCCUUCGGCAGCAGGGAGAAGACAGGUGCUCAGGCCCACGAGGCUGGGUUCCCAUCCUCGUGUCACUUCUGGUCCGUGUGACUUUGGCCUUGUCCUUAGCCUCCCCAAAUCUGUCUCCGCAUGCGAUCAUCAUGAGGGUGAUGAAGUUGAUGACUCCACCUGUGGCCACAUGUUACCGAUACCGAGUGUGAACGUGCUCCAGUGGUGUGAUUGUCAGGGAUUUUUAAGAUGGAAGAUUUCUACAUGAUCCUGGUUUAGUUUCAUGGGAACUCCUCUCGUGACUUAGUGCUUGGAAUAGCAACGAACAAGAAUACUUCUGAUCUGCCCAAAGCUGGAGCUUGCUGAAGGAAGAGCUGAAUGUUUGUAUGAGCGCCCAGUGAGAUGGCAAAACUGGAUGUUUGAUCACAGCAACAGAAAUGAACCAGGACGGCAUCCUAGCGGCAUAGCCCUCAGAAAGUCUUCAAAAUGCCAAGCUCCAGCUGCACCCCAGGCCCGCUGAGCUCACAGCUCACAGAUGACCAGGAAUCUCGAUUUAUUGCUUUAUUUUAAAAGAA